GCGGAAUGAGUUGUCUGCUCUGAUAACAACAUAUGCCUGCCUUAAAGCUAUCAGAUUAUGUUUACAGUUAAAAAGCAGCAACACUAUAUCUUCCAGCUGUGUUUGACAGAUGCUGUUGGACCCCACAACCUUAUUAUCUGCAGAGGGGCUGCCACUCAAUUACACCAAAAUACACAGUGAUGGAUGGUGAAGAUUUCAUAGAGGAUUGUGCAGAUAUUUUUGUGAAAUUUAGCCUUCAUUGCAUCUAUUUUGUGUUUUCAUGGGACUUUGCGCUUCCUUGAAUGAUUGGUUGUCAGUAUUUUAAGAAAAAUGCUCUCUCUAUAAAAGAUAAAAUAAUGUACACAUUUCUGUCCCAGCCUUAAUGUGUGGAGCAAUGUGGGUCUGCUAAUUAAUUUGCAUAUACAUUUACUGACUCUUUCACGUUAUGUAUUUGUAUACAUAUAUAUAUAUAAUGUAUAUGAUAUUUUAUUAAUGAGUGAUUUAU